GGUGCCAUCGCCAAGCGGUAAGGCCGGAGCCUGCAAAGCUCCUAUCCCCGGUUCAAAUCCGGGUGGCACCU
rnacentral:tRNA from 1 species